GAUGAACGCUGGCGGCGUGCCUAAUACAUGCAAGUCGAGCGAAUGGAUUGAGAGCUUGCUCUUAUGAAGUUAGCGGCGGGCGGGUGAGUAACACGUGGGUAACCUGCCCAUAAGACUGGGAUAACUCCGGGAAACCGGGGCUAAUACCGGAUAACAUUUUGAACCGCAUGGUUCGAAAUUGAAAGGCGGCUUCGGCUGUCACUUAUGGAUGGACCCGCGUCGCAUUAGCUAGUUGGUGAGGUAACGGCUCACCAAGGCAACGAUGCGUAGCCGACCUGAGAGGGGGAUCGGCCACACUGGGACUGAGACACGGCCCAGACUCCUACGGGAGGUAGCAGUAGGGAAUCUUCCGCAAUGGACGAAAGUCUGACGGAGCAACGCCGCGUGAGUGAUGAAGGCUUUCGGGUCGUAAAACUCUAUUGUUAGGGAAGAACAAGUGCUAGUUGAAUAAGCUGGCACCUUGACGGUACCUAACCAGAAAGCCACGGCUAACUAUGUGCCAGCAGCCGCAGUAA
rnacentral:rRNA from 1 species